GCCAGCAUGGUGCAAUGGUUUGAGUGUUGGACUAGGACACUGGAAGGCCAGGGUUCGAAUCCCAGUUCAGCCA
rnacentral:tRNA from 1 species